CAAAAGAAUAGUUUGAUCCUAGCUUAGAAGGAAUACUAGCUAUAUGCUUAACAGAUGCAAGUCGAAUGUUGUUUUCGGGAAGCUGGGCAGAAGGAAAAGAAGCUCCUAUCUAAAGGUAGCUUGUCUCGCUCAGGAGGUGAGAAGAGUUGAGAACAAAGUGGAGAACGAGUGUGUAACACGUGGGAAUCUACCGAACAGUUCGGGCCAAAUCCUGAUGAAAGCUAAAAAGUGUUAUUUAAUGAGUCUGCAUAGUAUUAGGUAGUUGGUCAGGUAAGGCUGACUAAACCAAUGAUGCUUAGCUGGUCUUUUUAGAUAAUCAGCGACACUAGGACUUAGACACGACCCAGACUCCGACACAGGGCAGUAGUGGGGAAUCUUAGACAAUGGGUGAAAUCCUGAUAUAGCAAUAUUCCAUGAGUGAAGAAGGGAAAAGCCGCUUGUAAAGCUCUUUUGUCGAGUGCACGAUCAUGACAGGACUUAAAGGACUUUUGUCGAGUCCGCGUAGACCGAGGAAGAAGCCCCGACUAACUCCAUGCCAGCAACCAUGGCAAGACAGGGGGGAGGGCAAGUGUUCCUCAGAAUGACUGGACUUAAAGGGCACGUAGGUGGUGAAUCAGGUUGAAACUAAAGGCCGCCAAAAACUGGCGGAAUGCUCUCGAAACCAAUUCACUUGAAUGAGAUAGAGGAGAGUGGAAUUUCGUGUGUAAGGGUGAAAUACGGAGAUCUAUGAAGGAUUGCCAAAAGCGAAGGCAACUCUCUAGGUCCUUAGCGAUGCUGAGGUGCGAAAGCAUGGGGAGCGAACAAGAUUAGAUAUCUUGGUAGUCCAUGUCGUAAACGAUAAGUGUUCGCCCUAGGUCUACGAGGAUCAGGGGCCUAGCUAACGCAAAAAACACUCCGCCUGGGGAGUACAGUAGCAAGAACGAAACUCAAAGGAAUUUAUGGGGGCCUGCACAAGCGGUGGAGCCCAUAUGGUUUAAUUAAAUAAAAAAUGCAAAACUUUACCAACCCUUGACAUAUGAACAAGAAAACAUGUCUUUAAUGGGAUGGUACUGACUUUCAUAUAGGUGUUGCAUGGCUAUCAUCAGCUCGUGUUGUGAGAUGUUUGGUCAAGUCCUAUAAUGAGCGAAACCCUCAUUUUGUGUUGCUGAGACAUGCGCCUAAGGAGAAUGUCUUUGGAACCGAAGUGAUCCGAGGAGCCGAGUGACGUGCCAGCACCUAGCUGUGCUAUCAGUAAGAAGGUAGACGAUGCCUUUUGAAGAACUUUCUAUUUCUAAAUAGAAAGGGCCUUUCUCGCUUGUUUAGUAAAGUCAAGUUUUUAGCCUUAUCUUGCAGGUGACGACGACGUCAAGUUGACGAUAGAGAAAGACUUGGUAUUUAGGCGAGUGACAUGGUGGUGUGGUACGUAGUGGGUUUAGUACGCCCCGCCCAAACAAAAAAAAGGUGUGUGUCUCACUCACGAUGGUCUGCCAGUGAUAUACUAGAAGAAGGUGGGGAUGACGACAAGUCCGCAUGGCCCUUAUAUGCUGGGCUACACACGUGCUACAAUGGCAAUUACAAUGGGAAGGAACGUUGUAAGGCGUAGCGAAUCUGAAAAUAUUUCCUCAGUUCGGAUUGUUCUAUGCAACUCGGGAACAUGAAGUUGGAAUCGCUAGUAAUCGCGGAUCAGCAUGCCACGGUGAAUAUGUACCCGGGCCUUGUACACACUGCACGUCACACCCUAGGAAUUGGUUUUGCCCAAGGCAUCAGACCAAUGAUCGCCCAUGACUUCUAUUGGCGCAUACCACGGUGGGGUAUUCGACUGGGGUGAAGUUUUAACAAGGUAUCCAUAGGGGAAUCUGUGGCUGGAUUGGAUCUUUC
rfam:Nicotiana sylvestris Nsyl_contig149732, whole genome shotgun sequence.